rnacentral:rRNA from 1 species
UAGGGAAUCUUCCACAAUGGGACGAAAGUCUGAUGGAGCAACGCCGCGUGAGUGAAGAAGGUUUUCGGAUCGUAAAGCUCUGUUGUUGGUGAAGAAGGAUAGAGGCAGUAACUGGUCUUUAUUUGACGGUAAUCAACCAGAAAGUCACGGCUAACUACGUGCCAG